CAGUAGCCACGGUAAUACGUAGGUGGCAAGCGUUGUCCGGAAUUAUUGGGCGUAAAGGGCUCGCAGGCGGUUUCUUAAGUCUGAUGUGAAAGCCCCCGGCUCAACCGGGGAGGGUCAUUGGAAACUGGGAAACUUGAGUGCAGAAGAGGAGAGUGGAAUUCCACGUGUAGCGGUGAAAUGCGUAGAGAUGUGGAGGAACACCAGUGGCGAAGACGACUCUCUGGUCUGUAACUGACGCUGAGGAGCGAAGGCGUGGGGAGCGAACAGGAUUAGAUACCCCUGUAGUCCCUGUCUCUUAUAC
rnacentral:rRNA from 1 species